AUGGAUCCUGAGAAGAUAUAUGUUAUCUGGAUUAACUUCAGAAGAUGGAUGAAGAUCAUCUCUGAUAUCAUGAAAUCCAUUUGUCGUCAAGAGAUUGAGAGGAAGUAUGAGGAAUGGUUCAAAACCUUUACAAACAUUCAUUUGACAUUACCUGGGAUGAAGGUCGUUUUGGAUAAACAGCAAGAAGACGAUCUUUUCAUCUAUCAACGCUUGGAUAAGCAGAAUGAAAGAAUUGCUGCUUAG